rnacentral:rRNA from 1 species
GCAGUCGAGCGACAGAUAGGAGCUUGCUCCUUUGACGUUAGCGGCGGACGGGUGAGUAACACGUGGGUAACCUACCUAUAAGACUGGAAUAACUCCGGGAAACCGGGGCUAAUGCCGGAUAACAUUUAGAACCGCAUGGUUCUAAAGUGAAAGAUGGUUUUGCUAUCACUUAUAGAUGGACCCGCGCCGUAUUAGCUAGUUGGUAAGGUAACGGCUUACCAAGGCAACGAUACGUAGCCGACCUGAGAGGGUGAUCGGCCACACUGGAACUGAGACACGGUCCAGACUCCUACGGGAGGCAGCAGUAGGGAAUCUUCCGCAAUGGGCGAAAGCCUGACGGAGCAACGCCGCGUGAGUGAUGAAGGUCUUCGGAUCGUAAAACUCUGUUAUUAGGGAAGAACAAAUGUGUAAGUAACUGUGCACGUCUUGACGGUACCUAAUCAGAAAGCCACGGCUAACUACGUGCCAGCAGCCGCGGUAAUACGUAGGUGGCAAGCGUUAUCCGGAA